rnacentral:rRNA from 1 species
AUUGAACGCUGGCGGCAGGCCUAACACAUGCAAGUCGAGCGAGCGGCGGACGGGUGAGUAAUGUCUGGGGAACUGCCUGAUGGAGGGGGAUAACUACUGGAAACGGUAGCUAAUACCGCAUACCAUCGGAUGUGCCCCGAUGGGAUUAGCUAGUAGGUGGGGUAACGGCUCACCUAGGCGACGAUCCCUAGCUGGUCUGAGAGGAUGACCAGCCACACUGGAACUGAGACAUGGUCAAGACUCCUACGGGAGGCAGCAGUGGGGAAUAUUGCACAAUGGGCGCAAGCCUGAUGCAGCCAUGCCGCGUGUAUGAAGAAGGCCUUCGGGUUGUAAAGUACUUUCAGCGGGGAGGCGUUACCCGCAGAAGAAGCACCGGCUAACUCCGUGCCAGCAGCCGCGGUAAUAC